CCCGCCUUAGCUCAGUUGGUAGUAGCAGCAGACUGUCGUGGCGCCUGAAUCCAGCAGAAUCGCCGGCAUCAGCAGGCAUCUGUAGGUCCCCGGUUCCCCCGUUCAAAUCCGGGAGGCCGGA